UUACUUACCUGGAUGGGGUCAAUGGGUGAUCAAGAAGGCCCAUGGCCUAGGCAAGUGACCUCCAUUGCACUUAGGAGUGGUGCUAUCCUAAGGUCUACCCAAGUGGUGGAGCCUACAUCAUAAUUUGUUGCAGUGGGGGCCUGCGUUCGCGCGGCCCCUCC
rnacentral:snRNA from 1 species